rnacentral:rRNA from 1 species
GAUGAACGCUAGCGAUAGGCUUAACACAUGCAAGUCGAGGGGCAGCACAAGGUAGCUUGCUCUCUGGGUGGCGACCGGCGCACGGGUGCGUCACGCGUAUGCAACUUGCCCUAUACAGGAGGAUAACCCGUCGAAAGACGGACUAAUACUGCGUAUGCUCACAACUUGGCAUCAAGUGGUGAGGAAAGAAAUUCGGUAUAGGAUAGGCAUGCGUCCCAUUAGCUUGUUGGUGAGGUAACGGCUCACCAAGGCAACGAUGGGUAGGGGAACUGAGAGGUUUAUCCCCCACACUGGAACUGAGACACGGACCAGACUCCUACGGGAGGCAGCAGUGAGGAAUAUUGGUCAAUGGGCGCGAGCCUGAACCAGCCAAGUCGCGUGAAGGAGGACUGUCUUAUGGAUUGUAAACUUCUUUUAGACGGGAAUAACAAGAGUCACGUGUGACUCCCUGCAUGUACCGGAUGAAUAAGCAGCGGCUAACUCCGUG